rnacentral:misc_RNA from 1 species
GAUGAAGAACGUAGCGAAAUGCGAUAAGUAAUGUGAAUUGCAGAAUUCAGUGAAUCAUCGAAUCUUUGAACGCACAUUGCGCCCGCCAGUAUUCUGGCGGGCAUGCCUGUUCGAGCGUCAUUUCAACCCUCAGGUCCCCCUUUUCGGAGGGGGAGACACCCUGGUGUUGGGGGACGGCCUGGCCUUCUGCGCCGCGCCGCCCCCGAAAUGCAGUGGCGACCCCGCCGCAGCCUCCCCUGCGUAGUAGCACACACCUCGCACCGGAGCGCGGAGGCGGUCACGCCGUAAAACGCCCAACUUUCUUAGAGUUGACCUCGGAUCAGGUAGGAAUACCCGCUGAACUUAAGCAUAUCAAUAAGCGGAGGA